rnacentral:rRNA from 1 species
GACGCAAUGUCCUGACGAGCAUCGCGCGUGAGUGAGACGUUCGGAUCCGUAAAGCUCUGUUGGUAGGUCCAGACCGGGUGGUGGAGAGUGAAAGUCUCACUGUGACGGUAGGCUAACCAGAAAGGGACCGGCUAACUACGUGCCAGCAGCCGCGGUAAUACGUAGGUCCCGAGCGUUGUCCGGGAUUUAUUGGGCGUAAAGCGAGCGCAGGCCGGUUUGAUAAGUCUGAAGUUAAAGGCUGUGGCUCAACCAUAGUUCGCUUUGGAAACUGUCAAACUUGAGUGCAGAAGGGGAGAGUGGAAUUCCAUGUGUAGCGGUGAAAUGCGUAGAUAUAUGGAGGAACACCGGUGGCGAAAGCGGCUCUCUGGUCUGUAACUGACGCUGAGGCUCGAAAGCGUGGGGAGCGAACAGGAUUAGAUACCCUGGUAGUCCACGCCGUAAACGAUGAGUGCUAGGUGUUGGAUCCUUUCCGGGAUUCAGUGCCGCAGCUAACGCAUUAAGCACUCCGCCUGGGGAGUACGACCGCAAGGUUGAAACUCAAAGGAAUUGACGGGGGCCCGCACAAGCGGUGGAGCAUGUGGUUUAAUUCGAAGCAACGCGAAGAACCUUACCAGGUCUUGACAUCCCGAUGCUAUUUCUAGAGAUAGAAAGUUACUUCGGUACAUCGGUGACAGGUGGUGCAUGGUUGUCGUCAGCUCGUGUCGUGAGAUGUUGGGUUAAGUCCCGCAACGAGCGCAACCCCUAUUGUUAGUUGCCAUCAUUCAGUUGGGCACUCUAGCGAGACUGCCGGUAAUAAACCGGAGGAAGGUGGGGAUGACGUCAAAUCAUCAUGCCCCUUAUGACCUGGGCUACACACGUGCUACAAUGGUUGGUACAACGAGUUGCGAGUCGGUGACGGCGAGCUAAUCUCUUAAAGCCAAUCUCAGUUCGGAUUGUAGGCUGCAACUCGCCUACAUGAAGUCGGAAUCGCUAGUAAUCGCGGAUCAGCACGCCGCGGUGAAUACGUUCCCGGGCCUUGUACACACCGCCCGUCACACCACGAGAGUUUGUAACACCCGAAGUCGGUGAGGUAACCUUUUGGAGCCAGCCGCCUAAGGUGGGACAGAUGAUGGGGUGAAGUCGUAGCACGUGCC